GGAACAUGAUGAAGUUGAGCAGCACCAGGAAACGCAGGAAGGAGAAGUAGGACAGGAUCCCUGUGCCAAACAUCCCUGUGAUGGGACACAGAGAAGGGAAAGGAUGAGUGAUUUAGAUACCAUCCCGGAUCUCAAAGAGAUCAACAUCAACGCACUCAUAUCUUUCAAUGCUUCCAACAGAAGACACACAAAGCUCCAGGUUGCUGAGCAUCUCAAACCCAUCCUCCGUUAGCCUCCUCAGGGUCCGUCUGGUGCCCUGUCUCCACUGGCUCCAACUGCUCAGAUCCUUGGCCUGCUCCAAACGCUGGUCCCUGUCAGAUGAUCAAUCAGUCAAUAUAUUAAGCAAUCAAUCAGUUUGGGCAGUUCCCUGACUGGUCUCUGUAGGGUCUGAGUCCUGUGUUUCUCCUCAUGCUGCCUGGCCAAUGUGGUCUGUCCCCAUUU